rnacentral:rRNA from 1 species
GUCGGUUUGGGCGGUCGGUCAAAGGCCCUCGGAAGGUAACGCCCCUAGGGGCGUCUUAUAGCCGAGGGUGCAAUGCGACCUGCCUAGACCGAGGAAC